AUCCAGUUGAUGAGUUCCAAAUGAGACGAAACUCGAGUACUGAAU
rnacentral:hammerhead_ribozyme from 1 species